AUCUUUGUGCUUGGUUGGGGAAAUGACGCAGCUCAUAAGGUUCGAACCGAGGCGUGUUGAUUGUUAGUUGAAAAUUAUUUUCAAACCCCCUCUUAGUUCUCAAGCUUGAAUCGAGUUCUCAAAAUUUUUUCGAGUUUAAGUCUUUUCGAGUUUAA